GAGCAUGUCAGGAGGGCAUCUCUUGAUCAAUUUCUUGUAUCUUUCCCAAGCUUCAUAGAGGGAUUCACCCUCUUUUUGUCUGAAAGUUUGAACUUUUCACCCUUAGCUU